UACGUAGGGUGCAAGCGUUUGUCCGGAAUUAUUGGGCGUAAAGAGCUCGUAGGCGGUUUUGUCACGUCGGCUGUGAAAACUCGGGGGCUCAACCCCGAGCCUGCAGUCGAUACGGGCAGACUAGAGUGCUGUAGGGGAGACUGGAAUUCCUGGUGUAGCGGUGAAAUGCGCAGAUAUCAGGAGGAACACCGGUGGCGAAGGCGGGUCUCUGGGCAGUAACUGACGCUGGAGGAGCGAAAGCGUGGGGAGCAAACAGG
rnacentral:rRNA from 1 species